UACGAAGGGGGCUAGCGUUGCUCGGAAUCACUGGGCGUAAAGCGCACGUAGGCGGCUUUUUAAGUCAGGGGUGAAAUCCUGGAGCUCAACUCCAGAACUGCCUUUGAUACUGAGAAGCUUGAGUCCGGGAGAGGUGAGUGGAACUGCGAGUGUAGAGGUUAAAUUCGUAGAUAUUCGCAAGAACACCAGUGGCGAAGGCGGCUCACUGGCCCGGUACUGACGCUGAGGUGCGAAAGCGUGGGGAGCAAACAGG
rnacentral:rRNA from 1 species